rnacentral:rRNA from 1 species
CACGUAGGGUGCGAGCGUUUGUCCGGAAUUAUUGGGCGUAAAGAGCUCGUAGGCGGUGUGUCGCGUCGGCCGUGAAAACCUGCAGCUUAACUGUGGGCUUGCGGUCGAUACGGGCAUCACUGGAGUUCGGCAGGGGAGACUGGAAUUCCUGGUGUAGCGGUGAAAUGCGCAGACUAUCAGGAGGGAACACCGGUGGGCGAAGGCGGGUCUCUGGGCCGAUAACUGACGCUGGAG